rnacentral:misc_RNA from 1 species
GUGCGGCACCAUAUUUGCCUAAUGCAGCGUUCAUGCUGACAUUUAAAAGCACAUUUAUCAAUUUCGAAUAUUGGUUUUUCGAAGAGUGUUCACGGUGCCGCAUUUAGUUAAUGUUCUGUCUGUUCUUGUACAAAAACGUGCAAGUAGUCAUUUGGGAGUACAUCCACUUGGAACUUCCUACUAACGAAAGAACCUGUGCGAGGCAAGAGAAUCGAGCUAGCACGUUUUGGGAAGUCGAGUUUCAAUGCUGCGGAAAUGAUUUCUUCAAGCAAAACUUUAGAUUGAAAAGACGGGCUUUCCAGAAAUUGUGUAGCUUUCUGGAUCACAUUAAAAAGAAAAAAACCAACUUCCAGAAUUCUAUAUGCUUGGGAAACGGGACCAUUGAAGAGUGUGUUGAUGGUUUUAAAAGCAUUGGAUUCCCUCAAUGUUUGGGAGCGCUUGAUGGAUGCCACAUAGAAAUUCGACCUAGAACGGAAGAAGCAGUAGAUUAUAUCAACUAUAAAGGAUGGUAUUCGACAGUUUUACUAGCUCUUGUUGACGCAAGAUAUCGUUUUCUGUAUAUAAACGUUGGCAGUCCCGGACGAUGCAAUGAUUCCAAAAUCUUUGAAAAGUCCAGCUUAAAGAGAGAGCUAGAUAAAUGUUCGCUUCUGAACUCAAUGAGCACAAAAUUAGGAAACUUUGAUAUACCAGUUGUCAUUCUUGGAGACUCCGCUUUUCGUUUUUUUAAAUAUCUAAUGAAACCUUUUCCAUUCAGUUUGGAUAAAACACCAGCGCAAAAAACUUUCAAUUAUCAACUUUCGAAAUCACGUAGUCGUUGAAAAUGCUUUUGGACAACUGAAAGUUUCGUCGAAUUGGAAAAGGCUUUGAUAACAGAAUUGACAAUGCGAAUUCCAUUAUAAAAACUUGUGCCUUGCACAACUUUCUGAUAGCGGAAAAUGACCAAGUUUCACUUUCUUGGCUAACUGAGCAGAACGCUAACGACAGCAGUAGAAGGCAACCACAAUCCGCGGAUUUGCACCAAAGCCUAACAGAAGCUGAAUCAAUAAGGAAUGCUUUCACUUCAUACUUCAAUUUGUCGGAUGCUGAGGACGAACUAGACGGCAAUGGUGAUAACGGCGAUAGCUGAAACUGAAUUUUUACAAUUUAUGCACAUAGAUUAAGAUAAAAUGUAAUAAAUAGUUUUGCAUCA